rnacentral:rRNA from 1 species
AGAGUGGCGAACGGGUGAGUAACACGUGGGUAACCUACCUCUUAGCAGGGGAUAACAUUUGGAAACAAGUGCUAAUACCGUAUAAUACCAACAACCGCAUGGUUGUUGGUUGAAAGAUGGUUCUGCUAUCACUAAGAGAUGGACCCGCGGUGCAUUAGCUAGUUGGUAAGGUAACGGCUUACCAAGGCAAUGAUGCAUAGCCGAGUUGAGAGACUGAUCGGCCACAAUGGGACUGAGACACGGCCCAUACUCCUACGGGAGGCAGCAGUAGGGAAUCUUCCACAAUGGGCGCAAGCCUGAUGGAGCAACGCCGCGUGUGUGAUGAAGGGUUUCGGCUCGUAAAACACUGUUAUAAGAGAAGAACGGCACUGAGAGUAACUGUUCAGUGUGUGACGGUAUCUUACCAGAAAGGAACGGCUAAAUACGUGCCAGCAGCCGCGGUAAUACGUAUGUUCCAAGCGUUAUCCGGAUUUAUUGGGCGUAAAGCGAGCGCAGACGGUUAUUUAAGUCUGAAGUGAAAGCCCUCAGCUCAACUGAGGAAUGGCUUUGGAAACUGGAUGACUUGAGUGCAGUAGAGGAAAGUGGAACUCCAUGUGUAGCGGUGAAAUGCGUAGAUAUAUGGAAGAACACCAGUGGCGAAGGCGGCUU